AGUGAACGCUGGCGGUAGGCCUAACACAUGCAAGUCGAACGGCAGCACAGGAGAGCUUGCUCUCUGGGUGGCGAGUGGCGGACGGGUGAGGAAUACAUCGGAAUCUACUUUUUCGUGGGGGAUAACGUAGGGAAACUUACGCUAAUACCGCAUACGACCUACGGGUGAAAGCAGGGGAUCUUCGGACCUUGCGCGAUUGAAUGAGCCGAUGUCGGAUUAGCUAGUUGGCGGGGUAAAGGCCCACCAAGGCGACGAUCCGUAGCUGUCUGAGAGGAUGCUCAGCCACACUGGAACUGAGACACGGUCCAGACUCCUACGGGAGGCAGCAGUGGGGAAUAUUGGACAAUGGGCGCAAGCCUGAUCCAGCCAUACCGCGUGGGUGAAGAAGGCCUUCGGGUUGUAAAGCCCUUUUGUUGGGAAAGAAAUCCAGCUGGUUAAUACCCGGUUGGGAUGACGGUACCCAAAGAAUAAGCACCGGCUAACUUCGUGCCAGCAGCCGCGGUAA
rnacentral:rRNA from 1 species